UAAGGAAUAUUGCUCAAUGGGAGAAAUCCUGAAGCAGCAACGCCGCGUGGAGGAUGAAGGGUCUAUGACUUGUAAACUCCUGUAAAGAAGGAAAAAAUUCCCAUUUGAUGGGAGAUGAUGGUACUUCUGGAGUAAGCCCCGGCUAACUACGUGCCAGCAGCCGCGGUAAUACGUAGGGGGCAAGCGUUGUCCGGAUUUACUGGGUGUAAAGGGUGCUCAGGCGGAUUUGUAAGUCAGAGGUGAAAUCUUACAGCUUAACUGUGAAACUGCCUUUGAUACUGCAAGCCUAGAGUAUGGAAGAUAGUGAUGGAAUAUCUGGUGUAGCAGUGAAAUGCGUAGAUAUCAGAUAGAACACCAAUGGCGAAGGCAGUCACUUGGUCCAUUACUGACGCUAAAGCACGAAAGCGAGGGUAGCAAACA
rnacentral:rRNA from 1 species